rnacentral:lncRNA from 1 species
CUUUCGCUUUAGAAAACUCUGUACCUCAUGGGGAGAUGGCUGACAUUAGGGAUAAAUGCGACUGGAGAUGAGUCAGCUGCAAAGGGAGGAGAGGACUGCUCAAGUAACUUGCUGGAGAAAGAGAAAAUAUCAUUUGAGAUUCAAGGAAAAGGAGUGUAUUAAUGAGCUCAUUAAUAGUUCUAGAGAAGACUGGAAGGUAUGGCCACUCAACUUCAUCCAUCAGUCGUACACCUGCUGCUGUCAACACGAAAUGGUGCUACACCACCAGAACGGGAUAUGA